GUAGGCGUUGCGCAUUUUGUUGCUCAAAAGGCGACGAAACGCAAGGCAAUGCACGUCUGCGAUACACGAAAACAAUGCUAUUUGUUGAAAAUAUUGGAAUAAAGCAAAAGUCAUUGCCCGUCGCAAACGAAAGUGUGCUUCGGUAGCUAGGCUACCUGCUAGAGUCUCGCAAGGAUAAUAGCAAAGUCAAAGAGUAAAGCAGCUUAGACCUUUAGCGGGGUUUUCGUUAAUUGAAAAAUGGCUUAGUAGUUUGCGGCGUAACGAGUGGUUAGCGAUACUAACCGCGCAUGGUUGUUACUUGAAGGGAUUUGAGUGGAUAAAAAACUAAAACAUAAGGUUUUGAAAGACAACUGACUAAACGUGUAAUCUCAGCGU
rnacentral:sRNA from 18 species